CGAACGGGUGAGUAAUAUAUCGGAACGUGCCCAGUCGUGGGGGAUAACGUAGCGAAAGCUACGCUAAUACCGCAUACGAUCUACGGAUGAAANCGGGGGAUCGCAAGACCUCGCGCGAUUGGAGCGGCCGAUAUCAGAUUAGGUAGUUGGUGAGGUAAAGGCUCACCAAGCCGACGAUCUGUAGCUGGUCUGAGAGGACGACCAGCCACACUGGGACUGAGACACGGCCCAGACUCCUACGGGAGGCAGCAGUGGGGAAUUUUGGACAAUGGGCGCAAGCCUGAUCCAGCAAUGCCGCGUGCAGGAUGAAGGCCUUCGGGUUGUAAACUGCUUUUGUACGGAACGAAACGGUGAGCUCUAAUACAGUUUGCUAAUGACGGUACCGUAAGAAUAAGCACCGGCUAACUCUGUG
rnacentral:rRNA from 1 species